rnacentral:rRNA from 1 species
CCCGCUGAACUUAAGCAUAUCAAUAAGCGGAGGAAAAGAAACUAACAAGGAUUCCCCUAGUAACUGCGAGUGAAGCGGGAAGAGCUCAAAUUUAAAAUCUGGCGGUUCCGUGAGCUGUCCAAGUGGUAAUCUAGAGAUGUGCUAUCCGUGCUGGACCGUGUACAAGUCUCUUGGAAUGGAGCGUCAUAGAGGGUGAGAAUCCCGUCUUUGACAUGGACUACCAGCGCUUCUGUGAUGCACUCUCGAAGAGUCGAGUUGUUUGGGAAUGCAGCUCAAAAUGGGUGGUAAAUUCCAUCUAAAGCUAAAUAUGGGCGAGAGACCGAUAGCGAACAAGUACCGUGAGGGAAAGAUGAAAAGAACUUUGAAAAGAGAGUUAAACAGUACGUGAAAUUGUUGAAAGGGAAACGUUUCAAGUCAGUCGCGUCGGCUGAUACUCAACCUUGGUUCUCCUGCUGGCAUUACUCUCCAGAUGACGCAUCAUCAUCUAUGAUCACUGUAUGAUGGACGCGUGAGUGAGGUGUCCUCCUCGAAGGGGUAAUAACCUCUUGUCAGAUGCGAUGAUUGGGAUUGAGGAACUCAGCACUCUGCUACCGGGAUGCUGCUACAAUGGCUCUUAGCAAGCUCACUAUGAUCACAUAAUGGCUAGUACCGACACAUCUUCAAGCAUAGAACGUCUAGUGCGGGUAAACUUGCAGCACUACGCACUCAUGUGAGUAGCAGUUCUCAGCGUGACGUAGUCAUGCGCACACCUGUCUACUCGAGCGACUUGCCAUCCGCUCACAAUGUCACACAUGAUACGCCUCAUGAGCGAGCUGAGUCACAUCUUGUGUGCCUCACUCGCUACCUGAUUUACAGUCAUGGCACCUGGCUCGCCGCCCGCUUUCAAGAAGCGACACAUGCCCGGGCGAGCUGCAUUAUGGGAAUUGCCAACUCUUCCGGAUACGCCGGUUAUCUGACCGGGUGCCCUCUGCCGUUCCGUCUGCCGCUAAGCGGGAUGCCGCUCGGUCCAAGGGGGUGCGUCCGGGUGAUUCCAAGCAAUCUCGAGGAGCAGGGAAUGCAAAGUAAUUUUCCGGAAAUAAAAGGCCAAAAAAAAGGGCAAAGAACACCUUUAAAAAAGAACGGCCCUUUCCAGACGGCU